UACGUAGGUGACGAGCGUUGUCCGGAUUUACUGGGCGUAAAGGGAGCGUAGGCGGACUUUUAAGUGAGAUGUGAAAUACUCGGGCUCAACUUGAGUGCUGCAUUUCAAACUGGAAGUCUAGAGUGCAGGAGAGGAGAAUGGAAUUCCUAGUGUAGCGGUGAAAUGCGUAGAGAUUAGGAAGAACACCAGUGGCGAAGGCGAUUCUCUGGACUGUAACUGACGCUGAGGCUCGAAAGCGUGGGGAGCAAACAGG
rnacentral:rRNA from 1 species